rnacentral:lncRNA from 1 species
GCACACUAGGAUACUAAUACCGUUUUUACAUGUAACCGAUUCCUGAACCUGAAAAUUUCUUUUUCGUAAACCAUGUUUUUAUUUUAAGGUUUUUUCAUAGCUUUUCCAUAAUAAAUUAUGGUGACGACUCCCAAAAUUUUUUAUUAAACCCGUUUGUUUUUCGGUUCGCAUCCCAUCACAGUUUUGAUUGCGACAACUAUCACCUUCAAAAUUUUUGUCGUUCAAUUCAAUCUCAUCCACUAGGGAGGACCUAAUGGACCUGAUUAAUAAGCAUAACACAUCCACCGAGUACACAGAUUCCAUUGACAGCAAAGCGAGCACAGUGUCGUGAUGGCAAGGUCGGUCUGCUCAUGAAUCCUAUCUGCACACUUUUCAUUUAGGGGAAUCAAUUCUAGCGGGAAAAAUAGCUUCAUUUUGAUAACCAGAUCUUGCAACUCACGAUUAAACCCUUGGGAUAUUCAGUCCCAGAACUCAGUCAACAACGAUUGUAUUGGUGGCUUGUAUCAUCUCCAACGUUGUGAGCUCGACCAACAGGGGAAGGAAAGGGAGCGACAACAAGACCUAGGUUCCACUGGUGAUGAGUUACGCAUGGAAAAAGAAUGAAGAAAACUCUUCUAUGUUUAUAUAUGAAGAAAAUGGAUUCUUCCUUUCAUGUUAAAUUGGAUAUGAGCUAUAUAUAUGAGAGGGAAAAUUUCUGUUUGUUUAUCGAUGAAUUUAUCUAACAGAUAAAUAUAUGAAUAAUAAACAUUUUAA